ensembl:lncRNA
CAGGAGGUGGCAGAUCUCCAGGUAGCCCUUCUGGGCGGCGGCGUGCAGGGGGGUGCGCUUGCUCUGAGCGUCGCUCUGGAAGUUGGGGUCCAGGUUGUCCACUGGGGGGGGGGCGUUAAAUUGAGGGGGGGGCUUCAGGGACCCCCCCCCAAUAAAAAAAAAAUGAAGCCGGGCACUCACGGAGCAUCAGCACCACCUUCUGCAGCUCGCCCUGCUUCACCGAGAGGUAGAGCUGGCGCGGGUGGAAGCGCAGCUUCUUGCGCCUGUGGGGGGGUGGGGGUGUACUGGGAGCACUGGGAGGGACUGGGAGGGACUGGGGGGGUGUGGGGGGGGGCUGGGAGGGGAUUGGGGGGGAUUGGGGGCGGUUGGGGGGGGCCCAGAGCAAGCGGGGAGGGGAGGGGGUGAUGAGGGGAAAUACUGGGAGCACUACUGGGGGCAUACUGGGAGCACUGGGAGGGACUGGGAGGGGGUGGAGGGGUGUGGGGGGGGACUGGGAGGGGAUUGGGGGGGAUUGGGAAGGGUUGGGGAGGGCCCAGAGCAAGUGGGGAGAGAGGGGAGUGGGACUGGAAAGGAUGGGGGGGUACUGGGAGCGCUACUGGGAGCAUACUGGGAGCACUGGGGCCAUACUGGGAGCCCCCAGCAGCUCCCAGAGCCCAUGGCAGGAACAGGGAUGGAUUUUGGGGGCAUUUAGGGCAGAUUUGGUACCAAUUGCUCAACCUCCCGCGCUCCUAUUGGACAUUUUUGAGGGGAUCAGAUUUUUGGGUGGAAUUUCAGGGGUUUUGGGUCUGACCUGUCGGCCUCCUGCACCGCCAGGAGGGAUCAGAAAGGAUUCAGGAUGGAUUUUGGGGCCAUUUAGGGCAGAUUUGGGCCCAACACCAUGCCUUCUUAUACUGCUAUGGGGUUUUUUUGGAGAACCGAUUUUUGGGUGGAAUUGCGGGGGUUUUGGGUCUGACCUGUCGGCCUCCUGCACCACCAGGGCCUUCUCCAGGAGGUCUCGGGCGGGGCCGGGCGCCAGCCCCCGUGCCGAGAGGGCGGCCCCCGAGGGCAGGGUCAGCGCCGGGGGGGGUGCCGGGGGGGUGCCGUCGGCGCGGGGCAGGGUCACCUCCUGCGCCUCCGAGGCGUCCUCGCCGCAGUGGGGGCAGAAAAUCAUCCCGUUGAGCUGCGACACGCACCCCCGGUGGAAGCGGUGCCCGAUGCGCACGUCGGGGUGGCACUCCAGGAACGUGCCCUGGGGGGGCGCGGGGGGCAGGGGGGGUCACUCCGGGGUCCCCAGGGGGACUUCGGGGGGUCCUACGAUCCCAAAAUGUGCCCUGGGGGCCCUAAAAGGCGCCCUGGGGUCAUUUAGGGGUGCUAGAGGGUCUCCAAAGAGGGUCUUUGGGGUCCUGGGGGGCUUCUGGGGGGGUCCUGGGGGCUUUUGGGGGGGUCCUGGGGGGCUUUUGGGGUCCCCAAGGGUCUUUUUGGGGUCCCUACAGGGUCUUUUGGGGGGUCCCGGGGCCCUAAAAGGUGUCCUAGAGGGGUUUUAGGGGUCCCUGGGGUCCCAGCCCCGAUGCGCACGUCGGGGUGGCACUCCAGGAACGUGCCCUGGGGGGGCGCGGGGGGCAUGUGGGGUCACUCCGGGGUCCCCAGGGGGACUUCGGGGGUCCUACGAUCCCAAAAUGUGCCCUGGGGGCCCUAAAAGGUGCCCUGGGGUCUUUUAGGGGCGCUAGAGGGUCUCCAAAGAGGGGUUUAGGGGUCCUGGGGGGCUUUGGGGGGGGUCCUGGGGGGCUUCUGGGGUCCUGGGGGGCUUCUGGGGGUCGCUAUAGGGACAUUGAGGGGGUCCUGAGGCCCUAAAAGGUGCCCUGGGGUCUUUCAGAGGGGCUAUAGGGUCUCCAAAGGGGGUCUUUGGGGUCCUGGGGGGCUUCGGGGGGGGUCCUGGGGGGCUUCUGGGGGCCCCAAAAGCUGCCCUGGGGCCUCUUAGGGCUGCUACCCCUCCUCUAAACCCCCCCCAAAGCCCCAAUAUUCCCCCCACACCCCCCGGGACCCCCCCGGGACCCCUGGAAGCCCCCUCCCCAAAUUCCCCGGCCCCCCCCGGCCCCCCCCGGACUCACAGCAGUACAGAAGUGCCC